UACAGAGGUCUCAAGCGUUUGUUCGGAUUCAUUGGGCGUAAAGGGUGCGUAGGCGGCGCGGCAAGUCGGGUGUGAAAUCUCGGAGCUUAACUCCGAAACUGCAUUCGAUACUGCCGUGCUUGAGGACUGGAGAGGAGACUGGAAUUUACGGUGUAGCGGUGAAAUGCGUAGAUAUCGUAAGGAAGACCAGUGGCGAAGGCGGGUCUCUGGACAGUUCCUGACGCUGAGGCACGAAGGCCAGGGGAGCAAACGGG
rnacentral:rRNA from 1 species